GAUGAACGCUGGCGGCGUGCCUAAUACAUGCAAGUCGAGCGAACAGACGAGGAGCUUGCUCCUCUGACGUUAGCGGCGGACGGGUGAGUAACACGUGGAUAACCUACCUAUAAGACUGGGAUAACUUCGGGAAACCGGAGCUAAUACCGGAUAAUAUAUUUAACCGCAUGGUUCAAUAGUGAAAUACGGUUUUGCUGUCACUUAUAGAUGUAUCCGCGCCUCAUUAGCUAGUUGGUAAGGUAACGGCUUACCAAGGCAACGAUGCGUAGCCGACCUGAGAGGGUGAGCGGCCACACUGGAACUGAGACACGGUCCAGACUCCUACGGGAGGCAGCAGUAGGGAAUAUUCCGAAAUGGGCGAAAGCAUGACGGAGCAACGCCGCGUGAGUGAUGAAGGUCUUCGGAUCGUAAAACUCUGUUAUUAGGGAAGAAAAAAUGUGUAAGUAACUAUGCACGUCUUGACGGUACCUAAUCAGAAAGCCACGGCUAACUACGUG
rnacentral:rRNA from 1 species